UACGAAGGGGGCGAGCGUUGUUCGGAAUUACUGGGCGUAAAGGGCGCGCAGGCGGCCAUGGAAGUCAGAUGUGAAAUCCCCGGGCUCAACCUGGGAAUGGCAUUUGGGACUCUAUGGCUAGAGAUCGGGAGAGGAGAGUGGAAUUCCCAGUGUAGAGGUGAGAUUCGUAGAUAUUGGGAAGAACACCGGUGGCGAAGGCGGCUCUCUGGACCGAUACUGACGCUGAGGCGCGAAAGCGUGGGGAG
rnacentral:rRNA from 1 species